rnacentral:sRNA from 1 species
CGGAGAUGGACUUCGAGUCCGCGACGAG